rnacentral:lncRNA from 1 species
CAUCAAAAUGAAACAACUAUGUCGCAAAAGCAAAAGAAGUAACACGAGGUGUAUUGUUGCUAUUUCUUUGAUGAGAAUGAGAAGACCUAGCAAGUGGUGGUUUAUUAAUAUUUACACCCCCUACCCUACUACUAAUUACACCACCACCAUUCACUUGUUUCCAUGCUGACGUGGCCCCUCUUUGUCCCUCACAUUUCACUGGCUGUGGACCCACACUAACCGCUUUCUCACACCGACAGCUCACUAACAAACCGUUCCCGCCUUUUCUCUUCCAAUGCUCCGCCGUCACGCUACCGCCGCCACCACCACCGUACCCACCGACUGACACGGCGGCGAUGCUACUUUCGUCGUAUCCUUCCGCCGUCGUCACACUCCAGUCAAUACUCGCUUCACUCGGUUCGUAACAGUCCGUCAUCGCCGUCGUCACUGAUCCUUCAUCAAACGAGUCUCUGCUGUUUCUCCGGUACACCGCAGCAGAGUACGACGAUUGCGUUGCAGUUGAGAAACUUUCGAUUUCGAACAAAUCGGAGCUAGCAUCACUAGCCGCGUCGUUAUCAUCGAUGACGAUUCGUGAUAUACCCGGCGGGAAUUGGAAAUUGAGGGUUUUAGUAUCGACGGUGAGUUCUUCCGGUGGUCGGAAAACCUCCAGUGACUCUCUCGGUGGAUCUUCCAAAACGAUGCCGUUUUUGAGUUUUGUUGUUGUUGAAGAUGAAUUAGGGUUUAACACUGGAAAUGUGAAUCCAUCGGUGUAAGGCACUCUUACAGUUGUUGUUACCACUGGUUGAAACCUUUGAGAUUUCGUUACAACAUGAUUCUGUGUUUGAUCAAUGUUAUUGUUAAUCCAAUUGUUGUUCAUUGGUGGUGGUGGUGAAAUUGGUGAAGGAAUUUUGAUAUUGUUUUUGGGAUUUGGAUUUGAAGGGUUUUUGAUGUUAACUGAGAUAGCACCUGCUGGGUGUGAUAACAAACCUUGUUGACUGUUCCAGCUAGCUUCUGAUGAAGCUGUUGGUGUUGCAGCAUGGAAAGAACGAGCUCGAUAGUUUCUGAUGUUUGCAUAACCAUCCAUUGAUGAAGCAGAUGAGUAUCUUGUUGUAUCUGUAUUUGUGUGCGUCGAAUAUGCUGAGUUCUGAGGUGGGAUCGUCGAGUUUGUGGUGGUGAUUAUGAUUAUUUGGCUUUUGGGGUGUGAGAUAGGAUGAGAAAGAUGCAUCUAUAUCUCUUAAGAUGGUUGGUGAUUUUGGAGGCAGGUUACAAUCAAAGCUGAAGAUAACAACAGUAGCUUGGGCUACCACAGAAUACAGUAAAACAAAAUGAAAGAAAAAGCUUCCAUAAAUCACAAGACUCUAGAACAAUGAAGUUUACUAUUACAAAGACCAAAAUUUGCCGGAAUCACUUUUUCCCUUGAACGGAUUGUUUCCCAACUUGAUUUAUGGCUAUUUCUCACAUUCUGUUCUUAUUUACCAAAUUGGUUUUCUCUUCAUGUGGCUCCCUGAUAAGUUUCGUAGUAUUGAUUCAAUAAAGUAGGCAAGGAAGCUAGUCUUAUCUGAGACAUCAAUCACCCGCCAGAUAACAAUGUGAAUAAGUGAGGGUCCAUUAAAUUUGACAUUUAGGGGAAGAAGUUAUGUCUGAACUGUUGAGAGACCAUAAAGAAAUGUCCUUGUGGGUUUACCAUAUCAAUUAUCAUAGGUGGAUCGAUUUGGGAAGCAAGUGUAUAGUGGGUCAUCAUUAACCUUGUAGGUAACAUGCACUGCUUUAUUGCCUGCCUUUAGACAAUUUACGCACGGUUCUUGAUCAGGUGGUGGUCCAAAUUUUGCUGCCUUAGAACAAUAUUUGGAUUACAUGCUUUCUUUCUAUGAUAAUAUAGUAUAUUCUAUUUAUUUCUUGAC